CUCUUGCAAAUAAAGAAUAAGAGGUCCCGCCUGCCCUGUGACUAUAAGUUUAACGGCCGCGGUAUUUUGACCGUGCGAAGGUAGCGCAAUCACUUGUCUUUUAAAUGAAGACCUGUAUGAAUGGCAUAACGAGGGCUUAACUGUCUCCUUUUUCAAGUCAAUGAAAUUGAUCUCCCCGUGCAGAAGCGGGGAUAAGACCAU
rnacentral:rRNA from 1 species